GCGUCCGUAACUCAGUGGAUAGAGUGCCCGCCUACUAAGCGGGAAGCGCUGGUUCGAGUCCAGCCGGACGCGCCA
rnacentral:tRNA from 1 species